UACGUAGGGGGCAAGCGUUAUCCGGAUUCACUGGGUGUAAAGGGCGUGUAGCCGGGUUGACAAGUCAGAUGUGAAAUCCUGCGGCUUAACCGCAGAACUGCAUUUGAAACUGUUGAUCUUGAGUACUGGAGAGGCAGACGGAAUUCCUAGUGUAGCGGUGAAAUGCGUAGAUAUUAGGAGGAACACCAGUGGCGAAGGCGGUCUGCUGGACAGCAACUGACGGUGAGGCGCGAAAGCGUGGGGAGCAAACAGG
rnacentral:rRNA from 1 species